GGAUCAUUAAUGAUAGCUGAGUACAGCGUUGCGCCGCGUGGCUCUGCUAGGCUGGUAGAGGAUCUUCCUCCCGAAAUAGGCCUGGCAGGCUCCGGUUACGCCUCUCACAUUCAAACCCUUGACUACAUUACCAUUGUUGCUUUGGCGGGCCGCCCCUCGGGGCGUAGGCCUAGGCUUACCGCGCCCGCCAGAGGACCAAAACUCUUGUGUUUAGUGAUGUCUGAGUACUAUAUAAUAGUUAAAACUUUCAACAACGGUAUCUCUUGGUUCUGGCAUCGAUGAAGAACGCAGCGAAAUGCGAUAAGUAAUGUGAAUUGCAGAAUUCAGUGAAUCAUCGAAUCUUUGAACGCACAUUGCGCCUCCUGGUAUUCCGGGAGGCAUGCCUGUUCGAGCGUCAUUAUAACCACUCACGCUCUGCGUGGAUUUGGGGCCCGCUGUAUCGGCGGCCCUUAAAACCAGUGGCGGUGCCGUCUGGCUCUACGCGUAGUAAUUUAUCUCGCGACAGAGUUCCGGGUGGUUGCUUGCCAGAACUCCCCCCUUUUAAGGUUGACCUC
rnacentral:rRNA from 1 species